UACGUAGGGAGCAAGCGUUGUCCGGAAUCAUUGGGCGUAAAGCGCGCGUAGGUGGCCACAUAAGUCCGUUGUGAAAGUCAAAGGCUCAACCUUUGAAAGCCGAUGGAUACUGUGUGGCUAGAGUACGGAAGAGGCGAGUGGAAUUCCUGGUGUAGCGGUGGAAUGCGCAGAUAUCAGGAGGAACACCAAUAGCGAAGGCAGCUCGCUGGGACGUUACUGACGCUGAGGCGCGAAAGCUAGGGGAGCGAACGGG
rnacentral:rRNA from 1 species